CCUACGGGAGGCAGCAGUGGGGAAUCUUGCGCAAUGGGCGAAAGCCUGACGCAGCAACGCCGCGUGCGGGAAGAAGGCUUUCGGGCUGUAAACCGCUUUCAGCAGGAACGAAAAUGACGGUACCUGCAGAAGAAGGAGCGGCCAACUAUGUGCCAGCAGCCGCGGUGAUACAUAGGCUUCAAGCGUUGUCCGGAUUUAUUGGGCGUAAAGAGUUCGUAGGCGGUCGAGUAAGUCGGGUGUGAAAAUUCUGGGCUCAACCCAGAGACGCCACCCGAUACUGCUUAACUUGAGUUCGAUAGGGGAGUGGGGAAUUCCUAGUGUAGCGGUGAAAUGCGCAGAUAUUAGGAGGAACACCGGUGGCGAAGGCGCCACUCUGGAUCGAUACUGACGCUGAGGAACGAAAGCAUGGGCAGCAAACAGGAUUAGAUACCCUGGUAGUCCAUGCCGUAAACGGUGGGCACUAGGUGUGGGAUUCUAUUAACGAAUUCCGCGCCGUCGCUAACGCAUUAAGUGCCCCGCCUGGGGAGUACGGUCGCAAGACUAAAACUCAAAUGAAUUGACGG
rnacentral:rRNA from 1 species